AUAGAGCCUUGUUCAUGUUGAAGGAAUGUAACUUUUUUCUUUCAGCUCAAGAGUUCUCCGGAUGUAAACGGAAUCGUGUUUAUUUACCUGAUAGAGGUCAUCCAAAUGUUGAUUGUGAUUACCCUGGAAGUAAUGCUCUGAUUUUUAACCUGGAAAAUCGGUGUACUGAUAAACUCUCAGCUUUACCUGGAUAUUCCGAAAUUUUCUGGCCUCCACCAACUUGGCUCUUCUCUAAGGGUUAGCUGCUUGAAGAGCCUUGUUUGCAGAUGCUUAUUGGAGAUGCUAACCAUGUCAAGAAGCAUUCAAUUCCUUCCAAAGAAAGUUGUCAGUAAUCUGACUUGGUUAUAGAUUUGUGAGUAAUAGAAUAUUCUUUACAACAACUAGAAUAUUCAUAAUCAGCCUUGUUUAUUAUAAUUUAUUUGUUAGUUUAAAGAAAUCUGACAGUGUUAUGUCUUGUACGACAUAUUUGUAGGCUUUGUGAGAUCGUAAUAAUUGUGUUUUUCUUGUUUU